CGUCAGGAAUCCAGCGCGCUUCAGGGAUGGACGGAAUUCCGGAUCUGCUUUGAGCAGAGCGCGGGAAAUG
rnacentral:sRNA from 1 species